UACGUAGGAGGCGAGCGUUGUCCGGAAUUACUGGGCGUAAAGCGCGUGUAGGCGGUCGCACUUGUCGGGGAUGAAAGCCCUCUGCUCAACGGGGGGAGUGUUCACGAAACGGCGCGACUAGGUGGAGUGUGGUAGGGGGAGGCGGAACGGCCGGUGGAGCGGUGAAAUGCGUAGAGAUCGGCCAGAACACCAGUGGCGAAGGCGGCCUCCUGGGCCACAACUGACGCUGAGACGCGAAAGCGUGGGGAGCGAACGGA
rnacentral:rRNA from 1 species